AGUGAACGCUGGCGGUAGGCCUAACACAUGCAAGUCGAACGGCAGCACAGUAAGAGCUUGCUCUUACGGGUGGCGAGUGGCGGACGGGUGAGGAAUACAUCGGAAUCUACUUUUUCGUGGGGAUAACGUAGGGAAACUUACGCUAAUACCGCAUACGACCUACGGGUGAAAGCAGGGGAUCUUCGGACCUUGCGCGAUUGAAUGAGCCGAUGUCGGAUUAGCUAGUUGGCGGGGUAAAGGCCCACCAAGGCGACGAUCCGUAGCUGGUCUGAGAGGAUGAUCAGCCACACUAGAACUGAGACACGGUCCAGACUCCUACGGGAGGCAGCAGUGGGGAAUAUUGGACAAUGGGCGCAAGCCUGAUCCAGCCAUACCGCGUGGGUGAAGAAGGCCUUCGGGUUGUAAAGCCCUUUUGUUGGGAAAGAAAAGCAGCAGGUUAAUACCCCGCUGUUCUGACGGUACCCAAAGAAUAAGCACCGGCUAACUUCGUG
rnacentral:rRNA from 1 species